AGGUUCUGCCGGCAUUUGAACCCGGGAUCUCUCGCACCCUAAGCGAGAAUCAUACCCCUAGACCACCGAACC
rnacentral:tRNA from 13 species